rnacentral:rRNA from 1 species
GUGCACCAGUCGAGAAACCUCCGCAAUGCGGGAAACCGCGACGGGGGACCCCGAGUGCCGUGGCAACGCCACGGCUUUUCCGGAGUGUAAAAAGCUCCGGGAAUAAGGGCUGGGCAAGGCCGGUGGCAGCCGCCGCGGUAAUACCGGCGGCCCGAGUGGUGGCCGCUAUUAUUGGGGCCUAAAGCGUCCGUAGCCGGGCCCGUAAGUCCCUGGCGAAAUCCCACGGCUCAACCGUGGGGCUUGCUGGGGAUACUGCGGGUCUUGGGACCGGGAGAGGCGGGGGGUACCCCUGGGGUAGGGGUGAAAUCCUAUAAUCCCCAGGGGGACCGCCAGUGGCGAAGGCGCCCCGCUGGAACGGGUCCGACGGUGAGGGACGAAGGCCAGGGGAGC